rnacentral:rRNA from 2 species
GCAUCUAGAUUAGAGUUUGAUCGUGGCUCAGAUUGAACGCUGGCGGCAGGCCUAACACAUGCAAGUCGAGCGGAUGAGUGGAGCUUGCUCCAUGAUUCAGCGGCGGACGGGUGAGUAAUGCCUAGGAAUCUGCCUGGUAGUGGGGGACAACGUUUCGAAAGGAACGCUAAUACCGCAUACGUCCUACGGGAGAAAGUGGGGGAUCUUCGGACCUCACGCUAUCAGAUGAGCCUAGGUCGGAUUAGCUAGUUGGUGAGGUAAAGGCUCACCAAGGCGACGAUCCGUAACUGGUCUGAGAGGAUGAUCAGUCACACUGGAACUGAGACACGGUCCAGACUCCUACGGGAGGCAGCAGUGGGGAAUAUUGGACAAUGGGCGAAAGCCUGAUCCAGCCAUGCCGCGUGUGUGAAGAAGGUCUUCGGAUUGUAAAGCACUUUAAGUUGGGAGGAAGGGCAGUAAGUUAAUACCUUGCUGUUUUGACGUUACCAACAGAAUAAGCACCGGCUAACUUCGUGCCAGCAGCCGCGGUAAUACGAAGGGUGCAAGCGUUAAUCGGAAUUACUGGGCGUAAAGCGCGCGUAGGUGGUUCGUUAAGUUGGAUGUGAAAGCCCCGAGCUCAACCUGGGAACUGCAUCCAAAACUGGCGAGCUAGAGUAUGGCAGACGGUGGUGGGAAUUUC